CAGGACGAACGCUGGCGGCGUGCCUAACACAUGCAAGUCGAGCGAGGAGAUCCUUCGGGAUGAUCCUAGCGGCGGACGGGUGAGUAACACGUGGGCAACCUGCCUCAUAGAGAGGAAUAGCCUUCCGAAAGGGAGAUUAAUACCUCAUAACAUUGCAGUUUCGCAUGGAACAGCAAUUAAAGGAGUAAUCCGCUAUGAGAUGGGCCCGCGGCGCAUUAGCUAGUUGGUGAGGUAAUGGCUCACCAAGGCGACGAUGCGUAGCCGACCUGAGAGGGUGAUCGGCCACAUUGGGACUGAGACACGGCCCAGACUCCUACGGGAGGCAGCAGUGGGGAAUAUUGCACAAUGGGGGAAACCCUGAUGCAAGCAACGCCGCGUGAGUGAUGACGGCCUUCGGGUUGUAAAGCUCUGUCUUCAGGGACGAUAAUGACGGUACCUGAGGAGGAAGCCACGGCUAACUACGUGCCAGCCGCUGC
rnacentral:rRNA from 1 species